CCCAGGGCGGGGCUCCGGCUUGGUCCCGGCUUUCCUUUCCACCGCGGCCUCUACCCGGGCUGCUGUGUCCUGCGGAGCUCCGAGCACGUGUAGUGCCCAGCUGCCAGUUUGAGGAGAUGCUUGCCCUGGAUGCCUUGAAAGUAGGGGUGGUCUUCACCAGGCUAAAAGAAUGAUC